rnacentral:rRNA from 1 species
CUCCAGUUAGCGCAGGAGGUGAGGUGAGGAGGUGUUGGGAUCGGCGGCGUAAGAGAGAGCUAGGGUAGGCGUUCGGCGGCGGCGGCGUGAGAGAGAGAGAGCGAGGGUAGGCGUUCGGCGGCAGCGGCGGGUGGCAGGGUAGGGGCAGCGGCGUUCGACGGCCUAGGGGCCUGGCGAUAGGAGUGCCCGGUGUCCUAGGGGCGGCGGAGGUAGGAGUGCCCUGCGCCCUAGGGGUGGCGUCCGGUGGAGGCAGGAGCAGCCGACGACCUAGGGGACGGUUCGUGGCGGCGACGGCAGAAGUCGUUCGUGACGGCGGCAGCAGAGGUAGAGCAAGAAGGAGGUUCCGAAGUGGCGGCGGCAGAGGUCGUUCGUGAUGGCGGCAGCAGAGGUAGAGCAUAAGGAGGUUCCGAACUGGCGGUGGCAGAGGUCGUUCGUCAUGGCGGCAGCAGAGGUAGAGCAUAAGGAGGUUCCGAAGUGCAGUGGCCUCGUCGUGGCGGCGGUAGUGGUGCGGCCUCGUCGUGGCGGCGGUAGGAGACAGAGACGUUCCACUGAGAGUAAAGAAAGAGGGCCAAGGGUCGGAAAAAUAAACCAAGUGUUGUCAUCUUCACAUCUUAUCGGCUCUCUACACAACUUGAUCGAUAAAACACACUAGUGGCUCGAUAAGAGUCCCUGAUUUAUACAAUGUCGUUUAGACAAGAAGGGGUUUUAUAGAAGAUAAGCAGAUCGUUAUGCUUUUACCAGAUGAUCACUCGUACAAGGAAACGUUUUCUACAGACUCCUUUACUUCUGUUUCAAACUCUUCAUAACCUUUCUUCAGGUACCAGAAUACAGACACCGUUGUCAGGAACUAGGUUCUAUAUUCGAAGUAUACAACGUUCGAAACAAACCGAGAGAGAUACCCAAACUUGUACGUUGACGUCUUCACCUCUUUUAAUCUUUCAAUUACCCACUAGACAACGAUCUUAUAGUUCGUAGACUACCACCACACCCAUGGAGCCUCAGUGUCCAUCCAUCCUCACAAAGAUGGGUUCCACCCCGACGUCAUCUACUUUACCUCUUAUAAAAAUUUGUUAUAUACAGGAGCUUCGGACAAUACUCACGAAGAGCACACGCCUGUCUUGACCUGAAUAUAAACACCUUCUCCUUUAAUAGGUAUCCGGUCUCCCAGAACUGUAGUAGUUAACCACCGUCAAACCUCCAUAGUUCAUAGGAUGUAACGCUUCUUACCGAGUACUAUAUGAUCGGUAAGGACAUUGUUGGCACCGUAGCCUUAGACGGAAGUCAUGAUCACCCUCUUAUGAUUCACGUGUAUCUACAAGUGGACGUGGUUUGUACUGGCUUCGAGAAUACACGUACGUUCGAACCAGGGCACGUCUGUACAAUCCCCUAACGUUAAGAUGAGAGAAACGCCUGAAACUUUGACAAGAAUUCCUACUGUGUCUUUACUACCUCCAACUACUAGUUAGGUAGAAUUGGCUUCGGACUUUGUACUGAGAUACUACCACAACAACGACGAACCAACACUGCUCUUCCGGCUGCUGGGCCGCACGAUGUGAUGAUGUACGACGAUAAAUGUAAAUAGGUACCCGACGAUGUGAUGAUGAACGAUCACGAUCGAACAACCGUGUGUUGAUGAGUUGGACUUGGAACAUAAACACAUAAACACGACGACGACUUGGAACAUAAAGACGACGAUAAACACGUGGACUUCUAGGACUUGGAACAUAAAGACGAGGACUUGGAACAUAAACACGAAGACCCUGGACGUGGUACAUAAACACUACGAUAAACACGAGGACUUGGAACAUAAACCGAAGGACUAUGACACAAAAGAUAAACAAGAUAGUAUAUAAGUGUAACUACCAAUCAUUG